AACGGAGGGUGCAAGCGUUGUCCGGAUUUAUUGGGUUUAAAGGGUGCGUAGGCGGGUUAUUAAGUCAGUGGUGAAAGUCUGCGGCUCAACCGCAGGAGUGCCAUUGAUACUGGUAGUCUUGAGUACAGUAGAGGUAGGCGGAAUUUAUGGUGUAGCGGUGAAAUGCAUAGAUACCAUAAAGAACACCGAUAGCGUAGGCAGCUUACUAUGCUGUAACUGACGCUGAGGCACGAAAGCGUGGUGAUCGAACAUG
rnacentral:rRNA from 1 species